rnacentral:rRNA from 1 species
UGCCAGCCGCCGCGGUAAUACGGAGGGGUUUCGCGUUGUUCGGAAUUACUGGGCGUAAGGCGCGCGUAGGCGGACUAUUAAGUCAGGGGUGAAAUCCCGGGGCUCAACCCCGGAACUGCCCUUGAUACUGGUAGUCUUGAGUUCGAGAGAGGUGAGUGGAAUUCCGAGUGUAGAGGUGAAAUUCGUAGAUAUUCGGAGGAACACCAGUGGCGAAGGCGGCUCACUGGCUCGAUACUGACGCGGAGGUGCGAAAGCGUGGGGAGCACACAGGAUUAGAUA